rnacentral:lncRNA from 1 species
GGUAGAGUGGGGGUUAAAAUCCUAUAUGCUAAAAGUAUGCCAUCAUAUAAUGCUUCAUUUGCUUUUCGCGUUCUUCAAUUCUUUCUUGUCCCCUACCAAGCUACUCUAAUCUCUCCUCUGUGGUGGAACUUGAACUAGAAAUUGCUCUUAUGUCGGCCUAGAGAGAACUAGGGUCACCCCUACCCAUGAGUCUUAAUCACUUUGAU